UCCCCUACGUUCUUGUAGCUUAUAAAAA
rnacentral:tRNA from 1 species